rnacentral:lncRNA from 1 species
CCCAGAUAAGCAGCGAUGAUGCUGAGUGUGACCAUGGAGAGGAGACCUGAUGCUUGCCUACCCCGUGCUGGGUGCAGCCACUUGCCUCUUUGCAAAUGCGGAGGGAAAUGCUGCCCGUGGAGAGAGAUUCACACUUCACAGAGGUACAGAAGAGACAAAUGCAUUAGCCGUUAUUGCAAGGCCUGUGUGUAUUUCCCGGAUCAGGUGGAUUUCUGGGAAAGGACGAAUGGUAAGAGUUGCUAAGGAUAGCUGGGAAAAUAAAGCAUCUUUACAGAAAUCCCCAUAUGAGCAAACACAGACCGGGAUGCACAAACCUGUCCUGCAGCCUUGGGCUUAA